CGGCAUAGCUGGGUAGCUAUGUAUGGACGGGAUAAGUGCUGAAAGCAUCUAAGCAUGAAGCCCCCCUCAAGAUGAGAUUUCCCAACUUCGGUUAUAAGAUCCCUCAGAGAUGAUGAGGUCAAUAGGUUCGAGGUGGAAGCACAGUAAUGUGUGGAGCUGACGAAUACUAAUCGAUCGAAGACUUAAUCAAAA
rnacentral:rRNA from 1 species